UGGUGAAGUGAUGUGUACAAUCUUUCGGGUCUGACUUCAAAAUCAAUGGAGAGUUUUCUUAACCUGAUCACCU